CCUACGGGUGGCAGCAGUGGGGAAUAUUGCACAAUGGGGGAAACCCUGAUGCAGCGACGCCGCGUGAAGGAAGAAGUAUUUCGGUAUGUAAACUUCUAUCAGCAGGGAAGAAAAUGACGGUACCUGACUAAGAAGCCCCGGCUAACUACGUGCCAGCAGCCGCGGUAAUACGUAGGGGGCAAGCGUUAUCCGGAUUUACUGGGUGUAAAGGGAGCGUAGGCGGUUUAGCAAGUCAGGAGUGAAAGCCCGGGGCUUAACCCCGGGACUGCUUUUGAAACUGUUGAACUAGAGUGCAGGAGAGGUAAGUGGAAUUCCUAGUGUAGCGGUGAAAUGCGUAGAUAUUAGGAGGAACACCAGUGGCGAAGGCGGCUUACUGGACUGUAACUGACGCUGAGGCUCGAAAGCGUGGGGAGCAAACAGGAUUAGAUACCCCUGUAGUC
rnacentral:rRNA from 1 species